UUUCUCUAACUUGCUCAAAGAAGGAUCAGUACAUCUGGUGCUGUAAAAGAGCAGGUCACAGAAGAGUCUCAAAAACUAUCAGAGCUGGCUCCCCUGUUUGAAAAGUCUAAAUCAUCUCUCUUCAGUUGGAUGAAGUAUAUUUACAGAUUCUCACAAGGACUCAGGCUCAGACAGAUUGAUAUGAUCAGUGAUGAUAUUGCUGGCAGCUCCACAACACUGACAAAAAUGACAAGGUGUAUUCGAGAGGUUUGUAUUCGUGCAAUGGACAGCCACAGGAGGAAGAGCAGGCAGUGUCGUGGUGGUGGAAAAGAAUUGUUGUGAUAGACGCGAGUUGCUUCCGUCAUCAGUGAAAGGUUUGUACACCUUUUAAGUUUGUUUAAAAAGAGCUUCUUAAAGACACUGCUGUUUGCUAGCUUACACAUGCACAUAAUAGGUCUGUCACAACAUGAAAUUUUGCUAUGUAGUUAAAAAAAAUAUAUAUAUUUUUUUUAUCAUUGUACAUGACAAAUCAAAGCCUAAGGCCUGUUAAGCUGUCUGGCUUCCUAUAUUUUUAUACUUAGUAGAUCCCAAUUAAUGACAGACAUUUUCAGCUUAAACAAACACUACUCACCACCUUCCACUAAGGUUGUUAUUUAACUAACAUCAAAUAAAUGAACACUACUCACUGCCCUCUAAAGGCGUUAUUAACAAACAUCAAAUAAACAAACGUUACUUGCCUCUGCUUUCUAAAAGUGUUAUAGCAACAAGUUAGAGCAUUUAUUGCUUUUGUAUGGUCAAUAAUGUCUCAAUAAAUAAAUAAAUAAAUAUAUAUAUAUAUAUAUAUAUAUAUAUAUAUAUAUAUAUUUCUUUGGUUCUCAACUGGUAAAAAUGCUCCCAGUUGUGGUCAGCUAAAAAUGCCAUCAGCUCAAAUAAUUAUGAUCACAUGAUUAUGUAAUAAUUGUGAUGCACAUGCACAGACAGAUUCUCUCUGUAUGACACACACACACAUGCACACACACUCAUGGACACACACAAACAAAACAAGCCAGAAAUAAGGUUGUUGCCAUCUUCAGUGUUGUUCAUGUAAACUACAAGAGGGGAAACAAAUAUUCACAUAUUUUUCCCUAUAUAAAUAUCUCUCUGUUCAUGCUUAUGAAUGCAUAUAUUUUUGUAUAUACAAAAAAGACAUUAAUCAUGUACAUUUGCAGUGGGUAUAUGUAGUGAAAAUAUACUAAUAACAAAAACAAACAUGUUUUAAUUUCAUUUAGUAUAGGUUCAGAGAAGGCAUGGUAUGAUCCUCUUGGGUAUUCCUGUUCAAUGUAUAAGAGAAAAUAUAUUUUAUGGUCAUUUUUAAUGAUUUCAUAUACUUUUUAAAAUGUCUAUUUUUAGAUUUAUUUCUCAUAUAAGAGAAAAAUGUAGCUUUACAAAAAUGUCUGGAGACAUCAUUAAUGGCCUUUUCUGUAUAAUUAUCCAUAAAUUAAGUUACGUGACCCAGAUGGAUAAGUGGCUUAGAAAAUGUAUGUAUAUACAUAAUUACUAAUACUAAAUGUGACAGUUUAAAACAAGAUGUCCAACAAUACUUUCUGUAGUUUAUGUUAAAACGAUUGUUUAAAAAUGUAGUGGUUAUUUUUAUAUAUAGAAUGCACAAGGACGAUUUGGAAAUGCCUGGAGAAGGAAGAAAUGGGUCUUUGGAAUGAUGGGAGUUAAAGACAAAAGAGACUAAAAAUAGAGACUAGUGUUGAAACUAGUGGAGAAACGAGCAAGACGCCACCUUAUCUCUCUGAUCAGAGACCAUGUUAAGGCAGGAAGUAGCAUAAGCAGUGAUAAGUGGAGGGCAUACAGGGUUGUUCUGAGGGUACAAACACUAUACUGUAAACCACAGCAGGUGGUUUGUGGAUUGCUGGUCUGGAAGCCACACACAACAUAUUGAAAGAGCAUGGGGGACCAUCAAAGGACAUAUCCGUAGACUGAGAGGGAAUCGCACAGAGACUUUGUUGAAGGAGCACCUCAUGGUUCUUCAAUGGUCAUCCUGGCUUGGCUCUCGUCACCCUGAUGGGCCACUUGGACACUUGUUCAAGGAUGUACACAAAGCCUUUCCAGUCUGAAUUUCAAGACUUAUUUUCCAGUUCUCUAAUUAUCAUUCAGUAAAGACUGCUUUAAUGUCUGAAUUUGGAGAUCAACCGUGCUUAACUGUUUCAUUAUUAUGAAAAGAGUUUCAGUAUGUAUGAAUGAAAAUGUUUGUUUGUUUCUGUUGUAUCUUUCUUCAUGUGACAAAAUUAGAUUAGCUAAAUGUAAAUAUUUGUAGAACAUGAAUAAACAGUGCACUUUACAGUAAGUAA